CAAUAGCGUAUAUUAAAGUUGUUGCAGUUAAAAAGCUCGUAGUUGGAUUUCUGGUGGGAGCGAUCGGUCUGGCGCUUAGCGCGAGUACUUGCAUCGUCUCCGGCCAUCCUUGGGGAGAGUCUGUCUGGCAUUAGGUUGUCGGGCAGAGGAUCCUCAUCGUUUAUUGUGAAAAAAUUAGAGUGUUCAAAGCAGGCUUAUGCCGUUGAAUAUAUUAGCAUGGAAUAAUAAGAUAGGACUUUGGUACUAUUUUGUUGGUUUGCGCACCAAAGUAAUGAUUAAUAGGGACAGUUGGGGGUAUUCGUAUUCCGUUGUCAGAGGUGAAAUUCUUGGAUUUACGGAAGACGAACUACUGCGAAAGCAUUUACCAAGGAUGUUUUCAUUAA
rnacentral:rRNA from 1 species